AUUAUUUUUAUGCUUGAACAGGGUCACAUAGCUGAAAAUGGGAAAGAAUAAGAAACGAGAGCUGGUGAGUGCCUCUAAGGAGGAGCUGAUGGUGAUCACAGUGUCUGAGAUAGUCAGUGAGCUCAUCAAGGCACAUGAGCAGAGCAGAGACAUCAACCUUAACAGAGUGAAGACCAAGAUUGCCAGCAAGUAUGGUCUCUCCAGCCAGCCCAGAUUGGUGGACAUCAUUGCAGCCGUGCCACAACAGUACAAAAAGGUGCUGCUGCCUAAGCUUAAAGCCAAACCUGUUCGGACUGCAAGUGGGAUUGCUGUAGUAGCAGUUAUGUGUAAACCCCACAGAUGUCCACACAUAGCCAUGACUGGAAAUAUUUGUGUGUACUGCCCGGGUGGGCCUGACUCAGAUUUUGAAUACUCCACCCAAUCCUACACAGGCUACGAGCCCACCUCAAUGCGUGCAAUACGGGCCAGAUACAACCCUUAUCUUCAAACGAGGCACAGGGUGGAUCAGUUGAAGCAGUUGGGCCACAGUGUUGACAAGGUAGAGUUUAUUGUGAUGGGUGGGACGUUCAUGUGCCUGUCAGAUGAAUACAGGGACUUCUUUAUCCGCAACCUCCAUGAUGCCUUGUCAGGUCACACCAGCAGCUCCGUGGACGAGGCUGUCAAGUAUUCAGAAAGGAGUAAGACCAAGUGCAUUGGUAUCACCAUAGAAACUAGACCAGAUUACUGUCUCCGAAAACACAUCAGUGACAUGUUGAAGUACGGCUGCACUCGUCUGGAGAUUGGUGUACAGAGUGUCUACGAGGAUGUGGCCCGGGACACUAACAGAGGUCACACUGUGAGGGCUGUUUGCGAGAGUUUCCAGAUGUCCAAGGACGCUGGGUUCAAGGUGGUGUCUCACAUGAUGCCUGACCUUCCAAACGUGGGCCUGGAGAGAGACAUUGAGCAGUUUAUGGAAUUCUUUGAGAAUCCAGCCUUCCGACCGGAUGGCUUGAAAAUCUACCCAACUCUUGUCAUCCGUGGAACAGGUCUGUAUGAGUUGUGGAAAACUGGGCGCUACAAGAGUUAUCCCCCUUCAACAUUGAUUGAUCUGGUUGCAAGAAUAUUGGCCUUGGUACCGCCAUGGACGAGGGUGUACAGAGUACAAAGGGACAUUCCGAUGCCGCUGGUCAGUUCGGGUGUGGAGCACGGCAAUCUCCGCGAGUUGGCACUGGCGCGGAUGAAGGAUCUGGGAACACAAUGUCGUGACGUGCGCACCAGAGAAGUGGGCAUACAGGAAAUACAUCACAAAGUGAAACCUUAUGAGGCAGAGUUAAUAAGACGAGACUACGUAGCCAAUGGAGGAUGGGAGACGUUCCUGUCAUAUGAAGACCCGGAGCAGGACAUUCUGAUUGGUCUUUUGAGGCUGCGUAAAUGUUCAGAGGAUACGUUCCGCCCCGAACUGAAGGACGGGGUGUCUAUCGUGCGAGAGCUGCACGUAUAUGGCAGCGUGGUGCCAGUGCAUGCUCGAGAUCCCACAAAGUUCCAACACCAGGGCUUUGGGAUGAUGCUGAUGGAGGAAGCAGAGAGAAUAGCCAGGGAAGAGCAUGGCUCACAUAAAAUAGCUGUCAUAUCAGGUAAGGGAGGAGCAUGGCUCACAUAAAAUAGCUGUCAUAUCAGGUAAGGGAGGAGCAUGGCUCACAUAAAAUAGCUGUCAUAUCAGGUAAGGGAGGAGCAUGGCUCACAUAAAAUAGCUGUCAUAUCAGGGGUUGGCACCAGAAAUUACUACCGCAAGAUUGGAUAUGAGCUGGAUGGACCUUACAUGUCAAAAUCCUUGUAAACCGGCUCCAGAGUUACUGCAGUUCGAGUUAAAAUUUUACUUGUCACUGGAACCAUAGAACAUUCUUGAAUGAGUAAAUACCAGAGCUAUGAGGAAUUUGCGAUAAGCAUCUUGAUCAGUGCUAUGUGUGAAAAAAUAUAUCUGAAUUCUCUGAACGAACAGUUCCCACAGCAGAAGUGUUAUUUAUAUGGACUCAAAAGGCAUGUACAUGGGCCAUAUGGCUGUUUUUUGGAAAUGUAUUUAAAUGUGUAGCGAUGGGAGUUGUAAUAAAAUAACACAAAAUA